rnacentral:sRNA from 1 species
CACCCUCAAAGACGGUACUGGGCUCCAUUUACAAACAGACUGAAGCGGAAAGGUAUGAUG